UACCAGCACCCCGAGUGGUCGGGACGAUUAUUGGGCCUAAAGCAUCCGUAGCCGGUCCUGCAAGUCUUCCGUUAAAUCCAGCUGCUCAACAGAUGGGCUGCGGAAGAUACUAUAGAGCUAGGAGGCGGGAGAGGCAAGCGGUACUCGAUGGGUAGGGGUAAAAUCCGUUGAUCCAUUGAAGACCACCAGUGGCGAAGGCGGCUUGCCAGAACGCGCUCGACGGUGAGGGAUGAAAGCUGGGGGAGCAAACCGG
rnacentral:rRNA from 1 species